GACGAACGCUGGCGGCGUGCUUAACACAUGCAAGUCGAGCGGGGAUACAAGGGAGCUUGCUCCUGAGUAUUCUAGCGGCGGACGGGUGAGUAACGCGUGAGCAACCUUUCUCUCAGUGGGAAUAACACAGGGAAACUUGUACUAAUACCGCAUGAGACCACAGAGUCGCAUGACUUAGGGGUCAAAGAUUUAUGCUGAGAGGUGGGCUCGCGUCUGAUUAGGUAGUUGGUGAGGUAACGGCCCACCAAGCCGACGAUCAGUAGCCGACCUGAGAGGGUGAUCGGCCACAUUGGGACUGAGACACGGGCCCAAAACUCCUACGGGAGCAGCAGUGAGGAAUAUUGGCAAUGGACGCAAGUCUGAACCAGCCAUGCCGCGUGCAGGAU
rnacentral:rRNA from 1 species